rnacentral:snRNA from 1 species
GUACUUGCCUCAGCAGCAUAUAUACUAAAAAGUGGAACAACACAGAAGAGAUUAAGCAUGGGUCCUGCACAAAAAUGACAUACAAGUUUUCUAAAAAUUUGU